GCAUAUGUGUGUGUAGCCUGGUUGAAAAUGUCCUGUCUGAACAUUUAAAUCCAUCUGACGGUUUUGGAUCUGUUUCAGUCUUUGUUUCCACUUGAAUCAAAGUAAACUCUCUUCUCACUAACACCUGCUGUUAUUAAGAGCGUUUAGUGUUUCAGGGCACAGAUGGAGUGUUUUGAAGAGCGUCUUUCUAUCUGUGUCUUACUUCCACUCAGAAACAACGGGAACAUUGAAAAGUCCACUGAUCGCUCUUUCUUCGUCCAACCUGCUCUGCCUGCUGUCCUGAUGGAGAAAACUGUAACACAAACUGCCUGAAACAUCAACAACUCUCUCCUUAAGAUGCUCAAGUGGAGGGAAUUACAUGAUUUAUUUGUACAGUAUGUGUCCAUCAUAACCUGAUAAUCCGUCCUGUUGUCUUCCUGUCGACCGUACAAUUUUUGUGUUUGGUUUGACUGUUUAUAAAGCAUAAAGGUUUAAAUUAUCUCCCAAUGCUGUGUUAGACCUUUUUAGCCAACUUCAUUCCAGCAUUUUACCACAGUUUUACACAUAUUUUGUUUGGAAAUUAUGGUCAAUAGGUCUCAUUUAAUAAAAUUAUACCUCAUUUUUGA